CAUCAGAAUCCACUAUCCCACCUGCAUACGUAUAUUUGCUCCCACAAAGUGACCGUUCUUGUGGAUGUGCGCUUCCUCAAAAAUCUGUGAUUUGGAUCUCAUAGAAGAAAACAGCUGUCAUUAAGCUUUCUCAUUAAUACCCACCUUAUAUUCUGUCCUAGAAACAGAGGGGGUUUAUCUUAAACAGUGUGAACAUGUUCCAAGACUAUACUGUUAGUGUUGAAAUAGAUGUAGUUAACUUGUUAAAGCAGUCAAACUGCAAUCUUGGAUCUCCUUUUCAGCUCUAUCUAACUUAUGGUAGAUAUGGGAUUCCUUUUUCUCAGCGCAUCUCUAUCUGAACUUGUUGAUUAUGUUCAGAUGUGAUGAAAAGAACUCUCGUGCUUGCAGGUAGUCUUCAAGCGUCGCGUUACCGGUGUCCUCUUUGUCCUUGAAGAGUACAACCCAACAAAAAUGGGAAUACUGUUGGGUUAAGCUUCAAUUGCUUGUGAAGCCAAGGAUUACAAUUCGAGCAAAGCUGAACAUUCUUAUUGAGGUAUCUCAACUUAAAAAGUCACCAACAUGUACCAUGCAUCACAUUUGAAAUAUAUGGAUACUCAACAUGUUUGUAUCAUUUUGCUUUUAUGACUUCCUACUUUGACUCAGGGAAACCAUAAUUAAUCAAGAUAAAGAUUCAAGCAUGUGUGUAACACAGUAUCCUGAACAAUAUUUGCACAGAAGCAGACUAGACUUGAUAAUUUCUGGAUUCUGAAUCAUGAGAUUGCAAACAGUUCCAAUUUAAGAAAACUACUCGUUUAAGGCAUUCAUUUCAUGUAAGUACGAGUUUGGAACGCUAUUAAAAACAGCUAAUUAGAAUUCAAGGAAGCCAAAAGGGUUCUUCUGUAAGAUCUUUGAAGAGAGAACUACAUUUGCAUAUUUCCAGUCAGAGUACACUACUCCCUGUACAUGUUUACUGCUUUUGCUGCUCCACCACUAAAAAUCGUGUGGUGAUUCAGUAUAGAAAUCAAAAAGAGUUUUACCAAACUCAGUAAUGCUACUGCUAUCUUUCUACCGUUCAGUUCUUCCCAACUUCUCUGACUGUACCCCUCCGCUGUAACACCCUAAUUCAGUCACGUCUAACUAAUGUCUCGGUUAUCCUAACCUAAAGUAACAUUCUGGCCAUCCUUUUUACAAAAUGCUACAGCUUGAGCCAAGCAAUGCCAAAGCCAGAACCACAGUUACCUUAAUUCUCCUCCAUUACCAAAAUGCACAAACCCAGAAAUGAAAAAAAAAAAA